UAGUCUGGUGCCAGCAGCCGCGGUAAUUCCAGCUCCAAUAGCGUAUAUUAAAGUUGUUGCAGUUAAAACGCUCGUAGUCGGAUUUCGGGGCAGGUUUGCCGGUCUGCCGAUGGGUAUGCACUGGUAGAACUGUCCUUCCUUCCGGAGACGGCGCCUACUCUUAACUGAGCGGGUGUCGGAGACGGAUCGUUUACUUUGAAAAAAUCAGAGUGUUUCAAGCAGGCAGCUCGCUUUUGCAUGGAUUAGCAUGGGAUAAUGAAAUAGGACUUUGGUGCUAUUUUGUUGGUUUCGAACACCGAAGUAAUGAUUAACAGGGACAGUCAGGGGCACUCGUAUUCCGCCGAGAGAGGUGAAAUUCUUAGACCAGCGGAAGACGAACCACUGCGAAAGCAUUUGCCAGGGAUGUUUUCACUGAUCAAGAACGAAAGUUAGGGGAUCGAAGACGAUCAGAUACCGUCGUAGUCUUAACCAUAAACCAUGCCGACUAGGGGUUGGAGGAUGUUCCUAUGUGACUCCUUCAGCACCUUUCGGGAAACUAAAGUCUUUGGGUUCCGGGGGGAGUAUGGUCGCAAGGCUGAAACUUAAAGGAAUUGACGGAAGGGCACCACCAGGAGUGGAGCCUGCGGCUUAAUUUGACUCAACACGGGGAAACUUACCAGGUCCAGACAUUGUGAGGAUUGACAGAUUGAGAGCUCUUUCUUGAUUCGAUGGGUGGUGGU
rnacentral:rRNA from 1 species